rnacentral:rRNA from 1 species
AUUGAACGCUGGCGGCAGGCCUAACACAUGCAAGUCGAGCGGACGAAGAGAGCUUGCUCUCUGAUUCAGCGGCGGACGGGUGAGUAAUGCCUAGGAAUCUGCCUGGUAGUGGGGGACAACGUUUCGAAAGGAACGCUAAUACCGCAUACGUCCUACGGGAGAAAGUGGGGGAUCUUCGGACCUCACGCUAUCAGAUGAGCCUAGGUACGAUUAGCUAGUUGGUGAGGUAAAGGCUCACCAAGGCGACGAUCGUUAACUGGUCUGAGAGGAUGAUCAGUCACACUGGAACUGAGACACGGUCCAGACUCCUACGGGAGGCAGCAGUGGGGAAUAUUGGACAAUGGGCGAAAGCCUGAUCCAGCCAUGCCGCGUGUGUGAAGAAGGUCUUCGGAUUGUAAAGCACUUUAAGUUGGGAGGAAGGGCAGUAAGUUAAUACCUUGCUGUUUUGACGUUACCGACAGAAUAAGCACCGGCUAACUUCGGGCCAGCCGCCGCAGUAA